rnacentral:rRNA from 1 species
CACUCCUGCGGGAAGCAGCAGUGGGGAAUUUUGGACAAUGGGCGAAAGCCUGAUCCAGCAAUGCCGCGUGAGUGAAGAAGGCCUUCGGGUUGUAAAGCUCUUUUGUCAGGGAAGAAACGGUGAGAGCUAAUAUCUCUUGCUAAUGACGGUACCUGAAGAAUAAGCACCGGCUAACUACGUGCCAGCAGCCGCGGUAAUACGUAGGGUGCAAGCGUUAAUCGGAAUUACUGGGCGUAAAGCGUGCGCAGGCGGUUUUGUAAGUCUGAUGUGAAAUCCCCGGGCUCAACCUGGGAAUUGCAUUGGAGACUGCAAGGCUAGAAUCUGGCAGAGGGUGGUAGAAUUCCACGUGUAGCAGUGAAAUGCGUAGAUAUGUGGAGGAACACCGAUGGCGAAGGCAGCCCCCUGGGUCAAGAUUGACGCUCAUGCACGAAAGCGUGGGGAGCAAACAGGAUUAGAAACCCCUGUAGUCCCAUGA